rnacentral:rRNA from 1 species
AGCAGUCGCCACGGGAAUACGAAGGGUGCAAGCGUUGCUCGGAAUUAUUGGGCGUAAAGGGUAGGUAGGUGGUGACAUUUGUCUGGGGUGAAAUCCCUGAGCUUAACUCAGGAAGUGCCUUGGAAACGGUGUCACUAGAGUACUGGAGAGGUUCGCAGAAUUCUUGGUGUAGCGGUGAAAUGCGUAGAGAUCAAGAGGAAUACCAGAGGCGAAGGCGGCGAACUGGACAGUAACUGACACUAAACUACGAAAGCGUGGGGAGCAAACAGGAUUAGAGACCCCCGUAGUCCCUGUCUCUUAUAC